GGAGCUUGCUCCUCUGAUUUAGCGGCGGACGGGUGAGUAACACGUGGGUAAUCUGCCUGUAAGACGGGGAUAACUCCGGGAAACCGGGGCUAAUACCGGAUAAUAAGAAGAAACGCAUGUUUCUUUUUUGAAAGUCGGUUUCGGCUGACACUUACAGAUGAGCCCGCGGCGCAUUAGCUAGUUGGUGAGGUAACGGCUCACCAAGGCGACGAUGCGUAGCCGACCUGAGAGGGUGAUCGGCCACACUGGGACUGAGACACGGCCCAGACUCCUACGGGAGGCAGCAGUAGGGAAUCUUCGGCAAUGGGCGAAAGCCUGACCGAGCAACGCCGCGUGAGCGAUGAAGGCCUUCGGGUCGUAAAGCUCUGUUGUUAGAGAAGAACAAGUACGAGAGUAACUGCUCGUACCUUGACGGUACCUAACCAGAAAGCCACGGCUAACUACGUGCCAGCAGCCGCGGUAAUACGUAGGUGGCAAGCGUUAUCCGGAAUUAUUGGGCGUAAAGCGCGCGCAGGCGGUCUCUUAAGUCUGAUGUGAAAGCCCACGGCUCAACCGUGGAGGGUCAUUGGAAACUGGGAGACUUGAGUGCAGGAGAGAAAAGUGGAAUUCCACGUGUAGCGGUGAAAUGCGUAGAGAUGUGGAGGAACACCAGUGGCGAAGGCGGCUUUUUGGCCUGUAACUGACGCUGAGGCGCGAAAGCGUGGGGGAGCAAACAGGAUUAGAUACCCUGGGUAUUCCACGCCGUAAACGAUGAGUGCUAGGUGUUUGGGGGGGUUCCCCCCUUUUUUGCUUAAGGUUAACACAUUUACCCACUUCCCCCUGGGGAAUUACCAACGGCAAAGGUUGGAAACUUCAAAGGAAU
rnacentral:rRNA from 1 species